rnacentral:lncRNA from 1 species
UUAUUAUCCUCACCGGGGAUCACGUGAAACCUACGGGGAGACAUCAAUCCCCCCAUCCCAGCCCUUCGCGCUUGAGUGGCGUGGAAACCACAGCCUAGGGCGCCCUCGAGGCGCCGAUCCAGAGGCCCCUCCGCCCCCACGGCGGCGGCGGCGCCCCCCUGGGGCUGUCGCUGUUGCACCGGCGAACCACUUUCCACCGCCGUGACGGACGCAAGGAAGGAGUCGUCCCGGCGAGGUAGCCGGCGGGAGAGAUGGGACUGCCUUCUGCCCCAAUCUCGUCGGAGCGUUGACGUCGUAUAUUGCUCUGAUGGUCAGUGUUGACGUCAAGCAUGUUGGGGCCGCGCUUCUCUGUAGGGUUCUCGGAGGAGCUGUAGGGGAUGCCGGAGGUUCGGCAGACAGCUCCGCUGCGGUCUGCGGGAGGGGCACGGCUCCGUCGUCUCGUGGUUACGUUGCGCUACUGGGUAGCUGUCCGAGGGUGGGGUCCAGAGAUUUGUAUUAACGGGCAGUUGGGUCAACAGCGUUGACCACACGCAAAGUUAGCUGCGAAACGGCUGAAUGUUGUGCCGGAGCGCUCAGCCGAGUGGGCUCUCACCCCGACGACGCCGCGAUCAGCGACUGCGUGAGACUCGCGUCGUUCGGUUACGUAGGAGAUGUGGCGGUGGCGGCGGCGGCAGAAUUUCCUAUGCAUGGCGUUGCCAUCCGUUACGUCCGACUUCUCAUCCGCCGCUGCUCUCCUCCGCCUCCUCUGCCUUCCACUGUAAGAAAUAUGCAUCGCAGCUUCGUCAGAGUUUAAACCUCGGCCUGCGCGGAGGAGGAGAACCGGGGGACCGGUAAUAGAGACUGUGAGAAAAAAGGGUUUCUUGGGGGACCCGGAAGGAGUAGAGGACAGAGGGGACAUGAAGAUAGAGGAGAGCGCAACAAGACGCGGCCUUUCGGUUGAGAGCGGAACCAGACAGCGAACCCCCGUCCAAACAUGGACGACGCGAGGGAGAGGAGAGAGUAGACCCGGAUUCACUGUAUACGAAGGAGAGAGGCCCUUUCUUCUGAAAGUAGGGUUUUUUGUUUAUGGGUUGUGGGGGGAGCGGAAGGGGGGGGGCCUAGGGAUUCUCCUCCUGCCAAAUUCCUUUAUUCCAUCAUUCCCUCAAAUUCCGCAUUGCGGUAUUUAAUGUUCGUAUCAGCCGCAGGGAGGUGGAGGAUUAACAAAAGAAGAGAAGAACGCCAAGAACAGUGCUUCCGAAGGCACUAACAUGGGAACUCGGGAAAGAGGAGGAGGAGGGUGGGAGGAUGUUGCUUGACGCAUCUGGUUCUCCUUCAUCCUGCAUCGGCUUCUGGGAAGAUAGCAACCCUAGGGUUCUUCCGCACACGUGAUCCCGCGAACACCCAUGCGUGAGUUCUAAGAUACAAGAAGCCCCUCCCUACUCCCCUCUUCCCUCCAUCUUUAACCUAUCUGCAGUUCCUAUCAUUAAAGGGGAAGCAUUAUAGCGAACCCUAGCGGCGAGAAUCAUGAUCUUCGGGUCCUCCCUGUCUUCCUUUCAGAAAGGAAUGGCGUACGGAACCCUACGGGGCUUGGAUGGGAACGGAGGGAUCGAGCGAACUUCGGGUCUUCUUGUGGAUCCUUAGAUGGAGAUCCGGCGGAGUGGAACCUCCCGCCAGAUUUCUCCGGGCCCGCCCUCAUCCUGAGGUUGAAGUAGCUAUCCUGCCCUAGACUGUUACGUAGAAGAAAUGGGAAGGGCGCCGUUGAGGUACAUGCAGCGGUCGGCAUCAUUCCUCAGAUCUGCUACUCCUCGGUCUCUAACCGGGCCUUUCUGUCUCCGAAUAGAGAAGCAGGCCACGGCCACCGGCGGAGCUG